rnacentral:rRNA from 1 species
UACAGAGGUCUCAAGCGUUGUUCGGAAUUACUGGGCGUAAAGCGCACGUAGGCGGGUUGUUAAGUCAGGGGUGAAAUCCUGGAGCUCAACUCCAGAACUGCCUUUGAUACUGGCAACCUAGAGACUGGAAGAGGUUAGUGGAAUUCCCAGUGUAGAGGUGAAAUUCGUAGAUAUUGGGAAGAACACCAGUGGCGAAGGCGGCUAACUGGUCCAGCACUGACGCUGAGGUGCGAAAGCGUGGGGAGCAAACAGG